ACUCCUACGGGAGGCAGCAGCCGCGGUAAUAUUGCACAAUGGGCGCAAGCCUGAUCCAGCCAUGCCGCGUGUAUGAAGAAGGCCUUCGGGUUGUAAAGUACUUUCAGCGGGGAGGAAGGCGGUGAGGUUAAUAACCUUGCCGAUUGACGUUACCCGCAGAAGAAGCACCGGCUAACUCCGUGCCAGCAGCCGCGGUAAUA
rnacentral:rRNA from 1 species